GGAUGGGAGCAAAUGUGUAACAAGGAAUUCAUAGAUAUUUUUAAAACUUUUGAAGACAUUAAUUUGUGUAUUUUAAUGUUAUUUUAGGACAAGUGUUAGCGUUAAAACUGUUAUUAUCACCAUUUUAAAAUGGCGACUUUAAGUUAUUCCAUGUUUGCGCCGCAGACGGACGAGGGGGAUUAUUACGUCAGUAAACAGAACACGAACAAAAAGACGGCGUGGAAAUUAAACCGUUCUUUAAUAGGUAUAGGAAUUCUGAUGUGCUUUGCUUUAAUAGUUGCUAUAGUAACGUAUACGAUAAAGUAUGAAGGAUCAAGAGAACCACUAAAUAAAUCACGGAAUCUGGGAUUACCAAUAAUUGGCAAGACGAUAAACAGCCAAACAUCGACAAAGUCAACUAUUAAUGUUUCACAAGGAACUCCCAAUUCACAUAAAGUUUCACAUAAUCCAGGGUCCCAUGUAAAUGACGUCACCGCAGCCAAUGGAUAUCUUCUAUCAUCGACGACGUCAUUACCACCAAUCACCAACAGCGCUCCAGUACAAUUAAAAAAUGAAAGGAUUUAUAUAGAUACGAAAAACCAGCUUCAAAUGUUCCACAUUCCUGGUCUUUUAACAGACACUUAUAUACUUCAAAAUUACAAACUGGGCUAUGUGAUGACGGUAACGUUAUUAAAGAGAAUUAAAGGAAAUCCAAGUAAAGUAUUUUACUGUAAAACUACAGAUAUGGAAUCAGUCUUACCGCCAAGAAAUAUCACGCUUAUAGCCGACCAUAUGACUAAACUGGGAUUUGAUGUAAUUCAACCACCACAGAGAAUGCCAAUAUUUAAUUAUAGAUCUUGUGACCAUAUUCCAGCAUCACUUCUACUGAAAUCAGGACCGUUCGUACCCAUAAGAUCAGGUAAAGAAGAAGGUUCAACGUGAACAGGAAGUCAGGACAAGAAGAACAAUCAUUGGACAGGACCACUACAUGAACCAAACGCCCAAUAAUACAAAAAAUGAAGUUAUAUUCAGGCUACGCCCAUGUUGUUGAUGCAAGAUUUGUUGUAACAGCAGGGAGGGUAUAGGCAUGUUCUAGGCCAAUUUUGAUACUUAAGCUUUUAUGAGCCAUUUCUAGUUGGGUUGAGGGUGGGUCGCUUGAUCAUACUAUUUUUUAGGUGACUUUUAAAAUGAUAAGUUUGUAUAGAUAUCUUUAUGUAACUGUUUAACAGAUAUAGUAUAGUAUCUUUGAAAGGCAUUUAGUGAAAGCGAUAUAUAAUAAACAGACAGCUUUAUGGAUAAUAUUUACUAGGUUUAUUAACUGCAACGUUUCAAUGAGAAUACCCUCACCGUUAUCAAUAAAUCUAGU